rnacentral:rRNA from 1 species
CACGUAGUUAGCCGGGGCUUCUUAGUCAGGUACUGUCACUUUCUUCCCUGCUGAUAGAGCUUUACAUACCGAGAUACUUCAUCGCUCACGCGGCGUCGCUGCAUCAGGGUUUCCCCCAUUGUGCAAUAUUCCCCACUGCUGCCUCCCGCAGGAGUCUGGGCCGUGUCUCAGUCCCAAUGUGGCCGGCCGCCCUCCCAGGCCGGCUACUGAUCGUCGCCUUGGUGGGCCGUUACCCCGCCAACGAGCUAAUCAGACGCGGGCCCAUCCCAUACCACCGGAGUUUUCCCCAGGAAGCUAUGCAGCCUCCUGGGCGUAUGCGGUAUUAGCAGCCGUUUCCGGCUGUUAUCCCCCGGUAUGGGGCAGGUUGCCCACGCGUUACUCACCCGUCCGCCACUCAGACAUUACCGUCCUCCCCGAAGGGAACUCCCUGUAACCGCUUCGUUCGACUUCGCAUGUGUUAGCACGCCGCCAGCGUUCAUCCUGAGCCAGGAUACAAACUCGU